rnacentral:rRNA from 1 species
UAGGGAAUCUUCCACAAUGGACGAAAGUCUGAUGGAGCAACGCCGCGUGAGUGAGAAGGGUUUCGGCUCGUAAACUCUGUUGUUAAAGAAGAACAUAUCUGAGAGUAACUGUUCGGGUAUUGACGGUAUUUAACCAGAAAGCCACGGCUAACUACGUGCCAC